AUUGAACGCUGGCGGCAGGCCUAACACAUGCAAGUCGAACGGUAACAGGAAGAAGCUUGCUUCUUUGCUGACGAGUGGCGGACGGGUGAGUAAUGUCUGGGAAACUGCCUGAUGGAGGGGGAUAACUACUGGAAACGGUAGCUAAUACCGCAUAACGUCGCAAGACCAAAAAGGGGGACCUUCGGGCCUCUUGCCAUCGGAUGUGCCCAGAUGGGAUUAGCUAGUAGGUGGGGUAACGGCUCACCUAGGCGACGAUCCCUAGCUGGUCUGAGAGGAUGACCAGCCACACUGGAACUGAGACACGGUCCAGACUCCUACGGGAGGCAGCAGUGGGGAAUAUUGCACAAUGGGCGCAAGCCUGAUGCAGCCAUGCCGCGUGUAUGAAGAAGGCCUUCUGGUUGUAAAGUACUUUCAGCGGGGAGGAAGGGAGUAAAGUUAAUACCUUUGCUCAUUGACGUUACCCGCAGAAGAAGCACCGGCUAACUCCGUG
rnacentral:rRNA from 1 species